CGGUGGGCAUGCUGACGCGGCACGUGAAGCGGCUGCGCGGCUGGAACUAGGGUUUUUUUUGUUUUGAAAAUUUUGUUUAUGUGUUGUGGGCUAGGGUUUUUUUGGUUAUUUUGGGCCACAUUGGUCUUGGGCUUGUUGUUUUGUUUUGUAAUUUCGACUGUAAUUUGAACUUUUAAUUUAUAUUUUUUUGAAUUUUAUUUGUCUUGGGCCUGGGCAAAAUAGGCCCAUUACAGUCUAUUUUUAAAAAUUUAGUUUGAAAAGGGAGAGAAUGCUCUAAUUUAAAAUGACAAAAAAGAUAAUUUUAAAUUUACGAGGCAAAUUAAAUUUUUUAUUAAAAU
rnacentral:lncRNA from 1 species